rnacentral:rRNA from 1 species
UACGGAGGGUGCGAGCGUUGUCCGGAAUCACUGGGCGUAAAGGGCGCGUAGGCGGCUCGGCAAGUAGGGGGUGAAAUCCUGCGGCUUAACCGCAGGGCUGCCUUCUAAACUGUCGAGCUCGAGCACGGUAGAGGCAGAUGGAAUUCCCGGUGUAGCGGUGGAAUGCGUAGAGAUCGGGAAGAACAUCAGUGGCGAAGGCGGUCUGCUGGGCAGUUGCUGACGCUGAGGCGCGACAGCGUGGGGAGCAAACAGG